CCCUUAGAUGUUCUGGGCCGCACGCGCGCUACACUGACGAUGGCAACGAGUUUUUCCUUCGCCGAAAGGUGUGGGUAAUCUUUUAAAACAUCGUCGUGCUGGGGAUAGAUCAUUGCAAUUUUUGAUCUUGAACGAGGAAUUCCUAGUAAGCGCGAGUCAUCAGCUCGCGUUGAUUACGUCCCUGCCCUUUGUACACACCGCCCGUCGCUACUACCGAUUGAAUGGUUUAGUGAGGACUCCUGAUUGGCGCCGCCGCCCCGGCAACGGAGCAGCGGACUGCCGAAAAGUUGUUCAAACUUGAUCAUUUAGAGGAAGUAAAAGUCGUAACA
rnacentral:rRNA from 1 species